GACGAACGCUGGCGGCGUGCUUAACACAUGCAAGUCGAACGGAAAGGCCUGCUUUCCCUUGUGGAUUGCGGGUACUCGAGUGGCGAACGGGUGAGUAACACGUGAGUGAUCUGCCCCCAACUUGGGUAUAAGCCUGGGAAACUGGGUCUAAUUCCCGAUAGGACUGCAGGGUGGUGCCUGUGGUGGAAAACGAUUUUCUAGUGGUUGGGGAUGAGCUCGCGGCCUAUCAGCUUGUUGGUGGGGUAAUGGCCUACCAAGGCGGCGACGGGUAGCCGGCCUGAGAGGGUGGACGGCCACAUUGGGACUGAGAUACGGCCCAGACUCCUACGGGAGGCAGCAGUGGGGAAUAUUGCACAAUGGGCGGAAGCCUGAUGCAGCGACGCCGCGUGGGGGAUGACGGCCUUCGGGUUGUAAACUCCUUUCGACCGCGAGGAAGCCACCUGGUUGGAAGGGUGGUGACGGUAGUGGUAGAAGAAGCACCGGCUAACUACGU
rnacentral:rRNA from 1 species